rnacentral:tRNA from 1 species
GGAGACGUAGCUUAAUGGCAGAGCGGACAGGUUGAAGCUGUUGGUGGAGGUUCGAUUCCUCCCGUCUCCG